rnacentral:lncRNA from 10 species
UGGCUUCCUCUCUCCCUGCUGCAGCCAGAAUGAUAUUCCGCUGGUCUCUGGCACCAGGAAAACAGGGUCUCUGGAGCCUCCUUGGUGUCGCACAGCCUCCGGAGGACUUGGGCUUAAUCCCUGCCCUCAACGUGCCUACACUCACACAGUGGAAGAUGUGACUUCAACAUGUAUUGAAUGUGGAAAGAAGCUAACCUUCACCGAGGGCCUCUGCUGCCUCAGACACUGUCCACAGUCUUCAGAUAUUGUCGGAUUUAUUCUCACAGCAACUCUGCAAGAGUGGGAUGGGCAUCCUCAUUCCUUAUGUGGAAAUUGGAACUCAGAGAGGUUAAGUAACUUACCCAUAGUUGCACAGCUAGUAAGUGUUGCAGCCACUAUGUGAACGCAAGACUGUCAGGCUCCAGAGCCUGUGAAUUUUACUAACCACAUUGCCAUACUAUGUGUCAAGAGCUCUUCUGGAGGCUGUGGGAGGCUGUGCUGGGGGCUGCGACAGAGGGGAAUGAGGGACAGUGUCUAACCGCAGUCCUUUGCUGUCUGAUGAAGGGCAAACAGAAACAACCAUGAUACUGAGAUCAUGGGAACAACCUGAGCAGAAGCUCAGUGGUGGGAAUAAUAAUAAUAACAGUAAGCCCAGCUAUUGGCG